AGUAACACGUGGGUAACCUGCCCAGAAGCAGGGGAUAACACCUGGAAACAGAUGCUAAUACCGUAUAACAGAGAAAACCGCCUGGUUUUCUUCUAAAAGAUGGCUCUGCUAUCACUUCUGGAUGGACCCGCGGCGCAUUAGCUAGUUGGUGAGGUAACGGCUCACCAAGGCGAUGAUGCGUAGCCGACCUGAGAGGGUAAUCGGCCACAUUGGGACUGAGACACGGCCCAG
rnacentral:rRNA from 1 species